rnacentral:tRNA from 1 species
GAGGGGGUAAGACGACACUAAUUGAACUGCUAAUUCAUAUUUCUGAGGUUAAAAUCCUCAGCCCCCUC